AAGUGACGCAAUCUAUACGUCAGAGUGCGCGACUCAGUCGCCGUCCAAAACGUGCGACGCGCGGGACAGCCUCCCUCCGCUCGCUCAAGGGGAGCGCGGCGCGGCGUGGGGGCGGGUCAGAGGCGCUGCGCCUGCGCAGGACACAGCGCUUCGGCUGAGGGCGGGGGAGCAUUAACCUCCGCGCCUGCGCGCUGGGAGUCGCUCCCGAAGGUGGGAGAAAUGUGGCUUCCGGGCGCCGGGGAAAGAUCUAAGAGGGAAAAGCAGUUUGACUGGACAGUUUGACUCAAGGAAUGGUAUGCGUGCGUUGAGGACAUGCUCGUGUGGGUGCCGUCUUGGUGGACGACGUCAAGCUCUCAGCUCCGUGGCCCACAGUCCGCCUAAAGAAAUCUUCACAAGAACGUGGAGAUAGUUUGAAAAUCCUGAAACCCUGAAAUUCUCCCCGAAGUUUUGGAGGAGCUUCCUUUUGUUAGCGGUGUAAUGCUCAUAAAUAAAUUGGUACCUGGUGAUCAAGCUCCACUUUUAGUAAGAAAAGAUCUAUUUUACAUUAGAAAUAAAAUUCAGUCAAGAUCAGCCUUGGAGGAGAAUGUAGCUUCAAUGAUAACAGUAGGGAUUUUCCUUUAGUGUCUUACUUAUAUCAGGGGAUAAUAAUAAUAACAGUAGGUUUCUUAAACAAAAAUAUGAAAAAUGAAAGAUGGGGAGAAAAACCUUUCCGUAACAGUAAAUACUGCACUGUUUCAAGCUACUGAACCAGAGUCCUAAGGAGAAGGCUGGAGACCAAAAAUGUUAUAGUGGCUCUUAGGACACCUAUUUUACCCAAAAGACAAAGUUAAUCAGCAAAGGUUCUCUUGGAGAGGUUUCAGGAAAAAAUAAAAGAUCAAAUGUUCCUGCUCCCCUCCCUCCCCCUCCAUCUGCAGAAGAAAGAGAGUAAAAAGGCAAAUGCAGACUAUCACAAGGAGAUUUGCACCUGUACCUAAACUCACAUUAUAUACUUUUUAAUAUUUCUGGCUCAGAAAGCACUCUAAAGAUCUUUCUUUAUAAAUACCACAUUAAUUUGGAGGUUUGUUCUUGUGUUGCUACAAAGAUUUGGAAUGGCAUCUACAUUCUAAAUGUAGACAACAAGAAAGGAACAGGAUAAUAGGGGACUAAAAAAGACUUCCAGAUGAAACACAAGCUUCUAAUCCUCCGCUAAUAAGAUAGAAACUAAAGAAUAGUAAUUUUUAUGAAUUGUUACCUGAAGAACUUAAAAUACUAGUUCCUUUCUAAUCCCCAGUGUCUGGGCAAGAACUAAAAUUUUAAAAGUGAUAAAAGAGAGAUAUGAUAAUAGGAAAUGCAAUGAAAGAAAAAAAUUAAGCAGCCACAGCUGAAUGCAUAGUAUGGUUUAAAGACCAGUGUGGGAGUACAGACUAGGAGGAAGCAUGAGGAGGCCUGCUGGGAGCUGGAAGUUCUAUAUGGUACAAGUCAUGGUUACAUGGAUAUACACACAAUAUUCAUUGAGUUAUAUACUUAUGAUGUGUGCACUUUAGUGGUUAUAAAUUAUACCUCAAUCUAAAACAAGAGGUCAAUGUCACUGCAGGAGCCUCAAAAGCAAGAGAUAUUGGCAUUUUUGUUUCAGAAAUAUUCCAUCUGAUACAUGCUUGAAAUAGACCCUAAUAGACACUGUUUAGAAACAAUUAGAUGAAUAAACUGUAGCUAUUAGCUCCAAGACCACCAACAAAGGUCAAUCUGUUCUGAGCUUUUACAAAGUUACAAGAACCAAUAGUCAGUGCUUGUUUUGUGGAAAUUCCUAAUGCAACACUGAAACUACAAAUGGAGAGCGGCUCCUUGCUGGUAAUUCACAAUGAACAGAGAUUUUUUUUUUUUUUUUUAAUACCAAGAAUGUAAGGCAAUAGAUUAGAAGCCUAAUUCAAUUUA